rnacentral:rRNA from 1 species
GGUUAAGCGACUAAGCGUACACGGUGGAUGCCCUGGCAGUCAGAGGCGAUGAAGGACGUGCUAAUCUGCGAAAAGCGUCGGUAAGGUGAUAUGAACCGUUAUAACCGGCGAUGUCCGAAUGGGGAAACCCAGUGUGUUUCGACACACUAUCAUUAACUGAAUCCAUAGGUUAAUGAGGCGAACCGGGGGAACUGAAACAUCUAAGUACCCCGAGGAAAAGAAAUCAACCGAGAUUCCCCCAGUAGCGGCGAGCGAACGGGGAGGAGCCCAGAGCCUGAAUCAGUGUGUGUGUUAGUGGAAGCGUCUGGAAAGGCGUGCGAUACAGGGUGACAGCCCCGUACACAAAAAUGCACAUGCUGUGAGCUCGAUGAGUAGGGCGGGACACGUGUAUCCUGUCUGAAUAUGGGGGGACCAUCCUCCAAGGCUAAAUACUCCUGACUGACCGAUAGUGAACCAGUACCGUGAGGGAAAGGCGAAAAGAACCCCGGCGAGGGGAGUGAAAAAGAACCUGAAACCGUGUACGUACAAGCAGUGGGAGCCUCUUUAUGGGGUGACUGCGUACCUUUUGUAUAAUGGGUCAGCGACUUAUAUUCUGUAGCAAGGUUAACCGAAUAGGGGAGCCGGAGGGAAACCGAGUCUUAACUGGGCGUUAAGUUGCAGGGUAUAGACCCGAAACCCGGUGAUCUAGCCAUGGGCAGGUUGAAGGUUGGGUAACACUAACUGGAGGACCGAACCGACUAAUGUUGAAAAAUUAGCGGAUGACUUGUGGCUGGGGGUGAAAGGCCAAUCAAACCGGGAGAUAGCUGGUUCUCCCCGAAAGCUAUUUAGGUAGCGCCUCGUGAAUUCAUCUCCGGGGGUAGAGCACUGUUUCGGCAAGGGGGUCAUCCCGACUUACCAACCCGAUGCAAACUGCGAAUACCGGAGAAUGUUAUCACGGGAGACACACGGCGGGUGCUAACGUCCGUCGUGAAGAGGGAAACAACCCAGACCGCCAGCUAAGGUCCCAAAGUCAUGGUUAAGUGGGAAACGAUGUGGGAAGGCCCAGACAGCCAGGAUGUUGGCUUAGAAGCAGCCAUCAUUUAAAGAAAGCGUAAUAGCUCACUGGUCGAGUCGGCCUGCGCGGAAGAUGUAACGGGGCUAAACCAUGCACCGAAGCUGCGGCAGCGACGCUGAUGCGUUGUUGGGUAGGGGAGCGUUCUGUAAGCCUGUGAAGGUGUGCUGUGAGGCAUGCUGGAGGUAUCAGAAGUGCGAAUGCUGACAUAAGUAACGAUAAAGCGGGUGAAAAGCCCGCUCGCCGGAAGACCAAGGGUUCCUGUCCAACGUUAAUCGGGGCAGGGUGAGUCGACCCCUAAGGCGAGGCCGAAAGGCGUAGUCGAUGGGAAACAGGUUAAUAUUCCUGUACUUGGUGUUACUGCGAAGGGGGGACGGAGAAGGCUAUGUUGGCCGGGCGACGGUUGUCCCGGUUUAAGCGUGUAGGCUGGUUUUCCAGGCAAAUCCGGAGAAUCAAGGCUGAGGCGUGAUGACGAGGCACUACGGUGCUGAAGCAACAAAUGCCCUGCUUCCAGGAAAAGCCUCUAAGCAUCAGGUAACAUCAAAUCGUACCCCAAACCGACACAGGUGGUCAGGUAGAGAAUACCAAGGCGCUUGAGAGAACUCGGGUGAAGGAACUAGGCAAAAUGGUGCCGUAACUUCGGGAGAAGGCACGCUGAUAUGUAGGUGAAGCGACUUGCUCGUGGAGCUGAAAUCAGUCGAAGAUACCAGCUGGCUGCAACUGUUUAUUAAAAACACAGCACUGUGCAAACACGAAAGUGGACGUAUACGGUGUGACGCCUGCCCGGUGCCGGAAGGUUAAUUGAUGGGGUCAGCGCAAGCGAAGCUCUUGAUCGAAGCCCCGGUAAACGGCGGCCGUAACUAUAACGGUCCUAAGGUAGCGAAAUUCCUUGUCGGGUAAGUUCCGACCUGCACGAAUGGCGUAAUGAUGGCCAGGCUGUCUCCACCCGAGACUCAGUGAAAUUGAACUCGCUGUGAAGAUGCAGUGUACCCGCGGCAAGACGGAAAGACCCCGUGAACCUUUACUAUAGCUUGACACUGAACACUGGUCCUUGAUGUGUAGGAUAGGUGGGAGGCUUUGAAGUGUGGACGCCAGUCUGCAUGGAGCCGUCCUUGAAAUACCACCCUUUAAUGGCUGGUGUUCUAACGUAGGCCCCUUAUCGGGGUUGCGGACAGUGUCUGGUGGGUAGUUUGACUGGGGCGGUCUCCUCCUAAAGAGUAACGGAGGAGCACGAAGGUUGGCUAAUCCUGGUCGGACAUCAGGAGGUUAGUGCAAUGGCAUAAGCCAGCUUGACUGCGAGCGUGACGGCGCGAGCAGGUGCGAAAGCAGGUCAUAGUGAUCCGGUGGUUCUGAAUGGAAGGGCCAUCGCUCAACGGAUAAAAGGUACUCCGGGGAUAACAGGCUGAUACCGCCCAAGAGUUCAUAUCGACGGCGGUGUUUGGCACCUCGAUGUCGGCUCAUCACAUCCUGGGGCUGAAGUAGGUCCCAAGGGUAUGGCUGUUCGCCAUUUAAAGUGGUACGCGAGCUGGGUUUAGAACGUCGUGAGACAGUUCGGUCCCUAUCUGCCGUGGGCGCUGGAGAACUGAGGGGGGCUGCUCCUAGUACGAGAGGACCGGAGUGGACGCAUCACUGGUGUUCGGGUUGUCAUGCCAAUGGCACUGCCCGGUAGCUAAAUGCGGAAGAGAUAAGUGCUGAAAGCAUCUAAGCACGAAACUUGCCCCGAGAUGAGUUCUCCCUGACCCUUUAAGGGUCCUGAAGGAACGUUGAAGACGACGACGUUGAUAGGCCGGGUGUGUAAGCGCAGCGAUGCGUUGAGCUAACCGGUACUAAUGAACCGUGAGGCUUAACCUU